ensembl:lncRNA
CGGGAUAUUUUUUGAAUGAAUGAAAAGCAACGCAAGCAACAAUGUCAUCGAGUAAAAGACGUCAACAGUUGUCGAUCGCUAGAGAAAGUAAAAUAGGUGAUAUAAGUAAUGAAUUGCCCUGUGCCGUGUCUGCGUCUGAACGGAAGCUUUCAAUGGGAAACCUGGGGGGUGAUAUUCAGAAAGAUGAAGCGCAAACCGGUGCCACACAGUAGUGGCUGCUUGUGCAUGUCGGCUGCUUAAAUUACCUAAUACAAGAUUUGCUCUGUCCAAAUUGUGCUGGGUCAGGGCUUGAAAUCCACAUAGAUCCCCAGAAUUAUGGAUUCUGUAGUAAUCUAUCGCUAGAGUGCUGUCUUUGUAAAGGGGAUCCGUACCGUACGAGCGUGUACACGUCGACGCGACUUCAGGAGGAGACCAGAAGUGAUGUCGCGUUUGACGUGAAUGUGCGAAUGGUCCUGUUGGCACAUGAGCUAGGGAUGGGCUAUGCAGCGCUGAAAAAGAUCAGCAAGGUGUUGGGGAUCCCUGCCCUUCAUCUUAGAACUUAUCAGAGGCAUGAUAAAAGAGUGACAGUGUGGUAGAAAUUAACCUUACAUUCUAUGUUAAACUAUGAUUAUUAUUAGGCCUACAUAUCAUAUAUACUUUAAUGGUGGAGAAGAGCUGAUCACCUCUAACCUAGAUGUUGUGUGCUGUGUGACACCAGUGAGUGGGUCCAGGAUAUUCUCACCUGAUGGGCCAUGUGAUACAUCAGUCAGAGAGUCCAGUCUACUCCCAUAUUGAUGUACUCUCUGAAGACAUAUUGAUGUACUCUCUGAAGACAAUGCUUACAUUCACACCUGUGCAUCAUCUCUGUUUGUAUAAGGAUAAUAUAUGUUCUAAGGUCACAUUGGGAUUCAGAAGACAUAGGAGUAUGCUGACAUCCACACAGUAUGACCCUGAUGGGAAAUUCUAUAUUUGAUGAAAGUCCAACUUUGUAUUGUGUAAGAAUUGGGGAUAUAAGGAGCUGUCCGGGAUUCAUUCGGUAGUGUGUAUUCGCGAAUACCAUUCAGCUUUGUUGUCUCUCGUUUGCGGGUGGCAAUAAACUCUCCAUCUAUACUUGACCUGGACUCCCCGAUUCCUCUUGCUUUUUAGCUAGUUGAAGUGAAUUAGAUAAGUUAUUAUUAAUUCUACAACAACAGGUAUGGAUACAGGAUUGUGUCAGAAAAGUUUAAGCAGUUUGUAGAAUUUCUAAUGACAGAGAUAGCCUAAUGAGUGUAGUGGUUAGCACCUUGUGACAUAAUUUUAUGACAUUUCUGUAACAGUAUUUGUUUUCUAUGGUUGGAAUAAGGAUGGAUUUAUAAGAAUAGAACAAACAGUCAUCUCAUUCAUUAUGUUGUGUUGGUCAGUUUUACUUUUACAGUUAAGAUUUCGAUUCAGUGGCAAAAACAAAGAAUAUAAACCUUCUAAUCAAAUUAGUACAUGGCAGGACAUUGAAGUGAAUUAUUUUCCAUCUGAUAGCUUUACCUUAUGACAACAUUAGUUCACUGGCCAAACCUAGGCCCAUAGUUGCACACAGGGAGGGAG